GAUGAACGCUAGCGGCAGGCUUAAUACAUGCAAGUCAAGGGGGUAGCAAUACUACCGGCGCACGGGUGAGUAACACGUACAUAACAUACCAUAUACUGGGGUAUAGCUUUGGGAAACUGAAGGUAAUCCCCCAUAACAUUGCGAGAGGGCAUCUGAUUGCAAUUAAAGUUUCGACGGUAUAUGAUUGAUGUGCGUUUGAUUAGCUUGUUGGUAGGGUAACGGCCUACCAAGGCGACGAUCAAUAGCUGGCGUGAGAGCGCGACCAGCCACACUGGAACUGAGACACGGUCCAGACUCCUACGGGAGGCAGCAGUAGGGAAUAUUGGACAAUGGGCGAAAGCCUGAUCCAGCCAUGCCGCGUGAUAGAUGAAGGCCCUCUGGGUUGUAAAUAUCUUUUAUCUGGGAAGAAACAAUCUUAUUCUUAAGAUCUUGACGGUACCAGAGGAAUAAGCACCGGCUAACUCCGUGCCAGCAGCCGCGGUAAU
rnacentral:rRNA from 1 species